CGCCUCACCGCGUGCACUGGUCCGGCCGGGCCUUUCCUCCUGGGGAGCCGCAUGCCCUUCACUGGGUGUGUCGGGGAACCAGGACUUUUACUUUGAAAAAAUUAGAGUGUUCAAAGCAGGCCUAUGCUCGAAUACAUUAGCAUGGAAUAAUAGAAUAGGACGUGAGGUUCUAUUUUGUUGGUUUCUAGGACCGCCGUAAUGAUUAAUAGGGAUAGUCGGGGGCAUCAGUAUUCAAUUGU
rnacentral:rRNA from 1 species